CGAGUGAAGCGGCAACAGCUCAAAUUUGAAAUCUGGCCUCGGCCCGAGUUGUAAUUUGCAGAGGAUGCUUUUGGUGCGGUGCCUUCCGAGUUCCCUGGAACGGGACGCCACAGAGGGUGAGAGCCCCGUAUGGUCGGACACCAAUCCUGUGUAAAGCUCCUUCGACGAGUCGAGUAGUUUGGGAAUGCUGCUCUAAAUGGGAGGUAAAUCUCUUCUAAAGCUAAAUACCGGCCAGAGACCGAUAGCGCACAAGUAGAGUGAUCGAAAGAUGAAAAGCACCUUGAAAAGGGGGUUAAACAGUACGUGAAAUUGUUGAAAGGGAAGCACUUGUGACCAGACUUGGGCCGGGCGGCUCAUCAGGGGUUCUCCCCUGUGCAUUCCGCCCGGUACAGGCCAGCAUCGGUUCUUACCGGGGGAUAAGAACGGCAGGAACGUGGCUCCCUCUCGGGGGAGUGUUAUAGCCUGCCGUACGAUACCCUGGCGGGGACCGAGGUUCGCGCUUCCGCAAGGAUGCUGGCGUAAUGGUUACUAGUGACCCGUCUUGAAACACGGACCAAGGAGUCGUCCAUUAGAGCGAGCGUUUGGGUGUAAAACCCGCACGCGUAAUGAAAGUGAAAUUAGGUGAGAGCUUCGGCGCAUCAUCGACCGAUCCUGAUGUUCUCGGAUGGAUUUGAGUAAGAGUUUUAACGGACGGACCCGAAAGACAGUGAACUAUGCUUGUAUAGGGUGAAGCCAGAGGAA
rnacentral:rRNA from 1 species